rnacentral:rRNA from 1 species
GAUGAACGCUAGCGGCAGGCUUAACACAUGCAAGUCGAGGGGUAACAGGGGAAAGCUUGCUUUUUUGCUGACGACCGGCGCACGGGUGCGUAACGCGUAUAGAACCUACCUUUUACAGGAGAAUACCCCAGAGAAAUUUGGAAUAAAGCUCCAUAGUAUUAUUGAAUGGCAUCAUUUAAUAAUUAAACAUUUAUGGGUAAAAGAUGGCUAUGCGUUCUAUUAGCUAGAUGGUAAGGUAACGGCUUACCAUGGCAACGAUAGAUAGGGGUCCUGAGAGGGAGAUCCCCCACACUGGUACUGAGACACGGACCAGACUCCUACGGGAGGCAGCAGUGAGGAAUAUUGGACAAUGGAGGCAACUCU